UACGUAGGGUGCAAGCGUUGUCCGGAUUUAUUGGGCGUAAAGAGCUCGUAGGCGGCUUGUUGCGUCGACUGUGAAAACCCGCGGCUUAACUGCGGGCUUGCAGUUGAUACGGGCAGGCUAGAGUUCGGUAGGGGAGACUGGAAUUCCUGGUGUAGCGGUGAAAUGCGCAGAUAUCAGGAGGAACACCGGUGGCGAAGGCGGGUCUCUGGGCCGAUACUGACGCUGAGGAGCGAAAGCGUGGGGAGCGAACAGG
rnacentral:rRNA from 1 species